rnacentral:rRNA from 1 species
AGUGAACGCUGGCGGUAGGCCUAACACAUGCAAGUCGAACGGCAGCACAGUAAGAGCUUGCUCUUACGGGUGGCGAGUGGCGGACGGGUGAGGAAUACAUCGGAAUCUACUUUUUCGUGGGGGAUAACGUAGGGAAACUUACGCUAAUACCGCAUACGACCUACGGGUGAAAGCAGGGGAUCUUCGGACCUUGCGCGAUUGAAUGAGCCGAUGUCGGAUUAGCUAGUUGGCGGGGGAAAGGCCCACCAAGGCGACGAUCCGUAGCUGGUCUGAGAGGAUGAUCAGCCAGACUGGAACUGAGACACGGUCCAGACUCCUACGGGAGGCAGCAGUGGGGAAUAUUGGACAAUGGGCGUAAGCCUGAUCCAGCCAUACCGCGUGGGUGAAGAAGGCCUUCGGGUUGGAAAGCCCUUUUGUUGGGAAAGAAAAGAAGCAGGUUAAUACCGCGCUGUUCUGACGGUACCGAAAGAAUAAGCACCGGCUAACUUCGUG